GUGGGGAAUAUUGGACAAUGGGGGGAACCCUGAUCCAGCCAUGCCGCGUGUGUGAAGAAGGCCUUUUGGUUGUAAAGCACUUUAAGCGAGGAGGAGGCUACCGAGAUUAAUACUCUUGGAUAGUGGACGUUACUCGCAGAAUAAGCACCGGCUAACUCUAUGCCAGCAGCCGCGGUAAUACAGAGGGUGCAAGCGUUAAUCGGAUUUACUGGGCGUAAAGCGCGCGUAGGUGGCCAAUUAAGUCAAAUGUGAAAUCCCCGAGCUUAACUUGGGAAUUGCAUUCGAUACUGGUUGGCUAGAGUAUGGGAGAGGAUGGUAGAAUUCCAGGUGUAGCGGUGAAAUGCGUAGAGAUCUGGAGGAAUACCGAUGGCGAAGGCAGCCAUCUGGCCUAAUACUGACACUGAGGUGCGAAAGCAUGGGGAGCAAACAGGAUUAGAAACCCGAGUAGUCC
rnacentral:rRNA from 1 species